UACGAAGGGGGCUAGCGUUGCUCGGAAUCACUGGGCGUAAAGGGCGCGUAGGCGGGUCUUUAAGGGAGGGGUGAAAUCCUGGAGCUCAACUCCAGAACUGCCUUUGAUACUGAGGAUCUUGAGUUCGGGAGAGGUGAGUGGAACUGCGAGUGUAGAGGUGAAAUUCGUAGAUAUUCGCAAGAACACCAGUGGCGAAGACGGCUCACUGGCCCGAUACUGACGCUGAGGCACGAAAGCGUGGGGAGCAAACAGG
rnacentral:rRNA from 1 species